AGGGGCAUAGUUUAACGGUAGAACAGUGGUCUUCAAAAUCAUAUGCGUGGGUUCGAAUCCUGCUGCCCUUG
rnacentral:tRNA from 1 species